rnacentral:rRNA from 1 species
AGUGAACGCUGGCGGCAGGCCUAACACAUGCAAGUCGAACGGCAGCACAGUAAGAGCUUGCUCUUACGGGUGGCGAGUGGCGGACGGGUGAGGAAUACAUCGGAAUCUUCUUUUUCGUGGGGGAUAACGUAGGGAAACUUACGCUAAUACCGCAUAUGAUCUACGGGUGAAAGCAGGGGAACUUCGCACCUUGCGCGACUGAAUUAGCCGAUGUCGGAUUAGCUAGUUGGCGGGGUAAAGGCCCACCAAGGCGACGAUCCGUAGCCGGUCUGAGAGGAUGAUCGGCCACACUGGAACUGAGACACGGUCCAGACUCCUACGGGAGGCAGCAGUGGGGAAUAUUGGGCAAUGGGCGCAAGCCUGACCCAGCCAUACCGCGUGGGUGAAGAAGGCCUUCGGGUUGUAAAGCCCUUUUGUUGGGAAAGAAAAGCAGCAGGUUAAUACGCCGCUGUUCUGACGGUACCCAAAGAAUAAGCACCGGCUAACUUCGUG